UGGUCAAAAUUCGAUUAAAACAUUAAAUCCUGACCCAAAAAAUAAGUACACAUUAAAUAAAAAAAAAAAAAUGAAUAAUAAUAUGAUUUGCUUACUAAACAGAAUUUGUUUCUAAAAUAAACAAUUAAAACCUUAUUAAAAUUAUCAAACAUCCAAGUCAUCAAUAUAUAUAUAUAUAUUUAUAUAUACAGUAAAACUUUCAUAUAAGGGUCACCAAAGGGAUCAAAAAUAAUGACCGCUAUUUUAAGUUAUCUUAUAGACAUAACAAUUGACAGGACCAAAAAAAAUGACAGUUACAUAGAGGUGACUGUUAGCGGAAAUUAUACAGAAUGUAUAUAUAUAUAUAUAUAUAUAUAUUAUACAUAUUUUUCCUUAUCUUUAAUAGAUACAUAAUAAUACCUUUAUAAACAAAGCAUACCUAGACCAUGUAGGAAAAAAAAAAUACUAAAAAUAUAAGAAACUUGAUACAGCCUCAAAUGCUGCAUCAUUCUCUCAACAAAGGACCAUAACAACAACUACUCAAACCCAGGAUGUCAGAUUUCAAGUCCAAUAAAAAAGUGUUUUUUAGUCCGGUACUAAAUAGUACAGUGGUAGUGUAUUUAUCCAGCAUAUGGAAGCACAAGGUUUGAUUCCUAGUAGAUCCCCCCUAAUUUAUAUACUAAUCUUUGAAUGUAAACAGCUACGUCAAUCUAUGUAAAAAUAAUUAAAACUGCAAGUACCUUUUAAGGUUAAGUAUUAAUGUGAUGAGAUGCAUAGGAUGAUCCAAACAUGUGAUGAAUCAAAGAUCCUAAAAGUAGUGUUAUGAAAUAAAUGAAGAGUAGAUAAGACCAAAAAGUUGGUUAGUAACAAUAAUAACAUCUGCGAAGUAUGUAUAGAUAUUUUUCUUGACAAUUUAAGUAAAGUAGAAAUUUAGAAAUAAGACAUCAAAAUAAUAGCAAAAAGAGACUGCAGUCAAAAGGAUUUAAUGUAAAUAUUUAAGUUAUGGCUUGAAUUUGGACGAACUAUUCAAUAUCAGUAUACCAGUAAAAAAAAAUGUUAUUAAAAAAUAUAACUUUAUGGUUUAUUUUUAUUUUUUUAAGUAUUUAUCCAAUCUAAGUGAAGUAGAUAACUCUAAUUCUAGUUAUCUAAAUCUAAAUAAAAGUAAUCAACCUAAGUUGCGUUGAUUAAUGGCAAAGAAAAAAAGGAAAGUAUAUUUUCGAUUACUUUUAUUAUCAUUUACCGGUAUACCUACCAUAACAUACAUUACGAUUUAUUUUAAAACUGUGAAGAGUUUACUAAUUACAUAAAUUGUAUGUACCUAUUAAAAAAAUUUAUAUAAUAGGCGGGUCACCUAAAUAGCCAGAACAGAGUUAACUGCAGCUAAAUUAGCUAGAAAAUGAAAUAGUAUCAACAGCCAUACAAGUUAUCAAUUUCUAGUUUAUGCCAUAGAUGCUUAGCUUUUUAUAUAUACGAGCCUAAUGAAAUCAGUUUUAAAAAUAUAAUAUAACUAAUAAUUUUAGAGUAAAGUAAAUUUAUUGUACAUGACUACUGAUAAGUUAUUUUAAUUCUUAAAUAAUAUGGACAAAUAUGAACUCCAAAAUAAAAAUAUGAAGUACCAAAAUUAGCUCAAAUUAAAAAUUGAAUAAAAAAAUAUUUCCCAAGUAUCAUCAAUAAUUACCAAAUAUCUAAUUAGUAUUUACCAACAUUUUAAUGUGUAAUAUAUUAUAAAUAUAUAAUUCAAUAUUUUUUAAAAAAUAUUUUAGGUUGAACGAGUUAUAAUAAGUAAAAGCACAUUAUGAAGUGGAUGAUAGGUUAGGAUUAAUAAAAUAAUAAAAAAACCUAUAUUGUAGGCUCCCAAAAAACCAGAAUAUAGCCAAAACAUCGAAAUAUAGACGUUACGGUGUAAUGGAAUUUAUUAAAAUAUGUACCUACUAAACUAUGAUUACAUAAUUAUUCUCAUCAUAAGCCAUAUACUAAAACGUUAAACUAUCAACUUGGACAAAUCCUUGUUCCAAAACACAUGAUAGAACAGCAAAAUACUUAUUUAAUUCAUAAAUAACAAAUAAUAUAAGUAAUAAUAUCUUACCUUAAUAAACGUUUAAUAGAAAAUAAAACAAAUUACAAAUAAUAUAACUCAAUUUCAACAAAUGUAAACCAAUUUGCCAAAAAAAAAAUUGACAUUAACGAAUAUAAGACAAAAGGAGUUGGACACUAGGACGUAAAAUACGAACAGAAAAGUAGCAAGAUGGCGGAAUGGCGGAUGAUCAAGCGUCCUUU